rnacentral:sRNA from 1 species
GCUGGGUGUGGUGGCACACACCUAUAAUCCCAGCAGCUCAGGAGGCUGAGGCAGGAGGAUCACGAGUUCCAAGCCAGCUUCAACAAUGAUGAAGCACUUUAGCAACUCAGUGAGACCCUGUCUCUA